rnacentral:rRNA from 1 species
AUUGAACGCUGGCGGCAUGCCUUACACAUGCAAGUCGAACGGCAGCACGGGGCAACCUGGUGGCGAGUGGCGAACGGGUGAGUAAUGCAUCGGAACGUACCUUUCAGUGGGGGAUAACGUAGCGAAAGUUACGCUAAUACCGCAUAUUCUGUGAGCAGGAAAGCAGGGGAUCGCAAGACCUUGCGCUGAUUGAGCGGCCGAUGUCAGAUUAGCUAGUUGGUGAGGUAAAGGCUCACUAAGGCGACGAUCUGUAGCGGGUCUGAGAGGAUGAUCCGCCACACUGGAACUGAGACACGGUCCAGACUCCUACGGGAGGCAGCAGUGGGGAAUUUUGGACAAUGGGGGCAACCCUGAUCCAGCCAUGCCGCGUGAGUGAAGAAGGCCUUCGGGUUGUAAAGCUCUUUCGGCCGGGAAGAAAUCGCACGGGCUAAUACCCUGUGUGGAUGACGGUACCGGAAUAAGAAGCACCGGCUAACUACGUGCCAGCCGCCGCCGCAGUAA